UUGAGUUCUUGUACUUUGACUGUCUGCUCUCCUGAUAACUGAUGAUGGAGGAGAAGACAUGAAAAACAAAACAGCUGAAUAGAAACUACUGACUCUGCAGGACCUGCUGUCCUCAGUCACCAUGUUGACCUCAAAAGGUCUCAAUCACAUCAUUCUUCUCCCCUGAUGGAAAAACAUGUGGUGUUACAGACGUCACCAAUUACAAGCCAAAUGUUGUGUAUUACAAAUGUGUUAUUAUCAUGUAAUUGUAAGUGUGUAUGCUGUCUUAUCAUCACAUCCUAAAAUAAGAGCUCUUUAACACCUCAGCAGAGAUCAGGUGCUGUUGUUCUUUUGAACACUUCAGCUUUUAAAACACUGAAAAUGAUAAGAAAUGAGAGGCAGAGUGAAGAGACGGGGCUCGACACACAUCCUUGGGGAGCCUAUGUUCAGUGUUCUUGUGCUGGACGUGUUGCUGCCGACCUGUCUGCUGUCUUCCUCUCAGGACAUCCAGCAGCCAGUUACACAGCGAGGUGCUGAUGCCCAGCAGAUCCAGUUUGUGAAUGAGUCGCUCGGGAAAGAUGGUGUUGAACACUGAAGUCUGUGAACAUCAUUCUAACGUAUGAGUGUCCAGAUGUGUGAGGGCUGAAUAAGAGGCCAGUUGAAAUGGCAUCAUCGGUCGAGCGGUUUGACCGCUCUUCAUAAUGAUGGAGGUGAGUGGGAGCGGACAGUAGUCCUUCAUGCAGGAGGGACACGACUACUUCAGUACAGGAAUGAUGGUGGAGAGUUUGAGGCUUGUGAGAACAACAGCCUGACUCAGUGAAGGAUUAAAGAUGUCUGGGAAGUAUGAUUGGACUACAACAACCAACAUUCAUCAGUCCUAUAAAUGAGAUGAGUUUCUACCAGAGCCAAAUGUCAUCGACUCCUCACUGAAGUCGUCCACCAGUCCAACCACUGGGAUCCAGCUGCUGCUCUCUAACUGGUCCACACAGCAGCUCAGACCUGACACAUUUACUGUAAACACACUGGUUUAUAUUCUGUUUGUUCUCCUCAUGAAGGAAA